CUAUAAUUUGUCCACCUAAAAGUAGAGGAAUGCACAGGAAGUGAUGCAAAGAAGCAUCUUUAAAAGGAAUCACAACUUCCUGUGAGGAGUUCAUCUUUCCUCAGAGUUCUGAAUUCCAGUUGGAGGCUGAUGAAGAAUCUGUUUACUGGACCUGAGACCUUGGACUUGGUGAAACUGUUCUUAAAUCUCUCCCUUUGAAAUAUCACAUGGGCUUUUCUCUCCUUUUGAUGACUGUGGUGCAGAUGAGGCCUGGGAGGUCCAUGAGCCCUGGACUGAUGGGACCCCUUGGUGUCCAGAAUUUCAUGGAUAAAGAAGCUGUUGAGGAUUCAUUGUCCAUAGUGGAGCCCAGACUGAAACCAGAAAGAAGGAAAGAAAGAAGGAAGAAGGGAGAAAAAAUGGGAGGAAUGAAGAAUCAUAGGGAAAGAAGGUAAUAGAAUCAUUUAUCACAUGCCAGGAACUAUGUUAAGUGUUUUACAAUUUUUAUCUCAUUUGCUUCUCACAACAACCCUGUGAGGUUGGUACUGUUAUUAAUCCCAUUUUACAGUUGAGGAAACUGAGGCAAAGAGAAGUUAAGAG
rnacentral:lncRNA from 1 species